CGCAAAUCACUUGAUCCAUCAUAUAUUUCUACUGGAAAUUACAAAACACAACACAGGAAAAAACUAAAGAGAUUACAAAUAAAGAUACAUAAUACAAACAUCCCAAGUCUUUAGACUAAUUACAGACCCUAGCUAACACUAUAUAUACACUGCUAGUUCCCACACAGCAUAUGGAUAUCCAUAACAACACCAGUAGGAGAAAUUUUCACCAAAGUGAGAAGCAUAUGACUUAGAAUGGUUAGAAGCAUAGGCUGCUUCAAAAAAUAAACUUGUAAAGAAUGGCAAGAAUCAUAUUUCUUCUCAGCACCAGUAGAAGAAAUGCAACAAAAUCAGACCCAUGUCGACUUCUUGGAAUGUUAAAUCUGGAAAAAUAAAAUUCAACAUAAGAGAUGUUUAACUUAACAGAAGUGAUAAACUUUAGAAACAUUAGUUGCUAAAGUAAUGGUUAAUGAAAAGGCUUUCAAGUGAAAUUUAAAAGUCUAUCAAGUUUGAUAAAUUAGAAUAUAAAUACAACAAUGUCAAGAGUUCCAAAAAAAGGCUUACAAAAGCUCAUGGACACACAUUAAGCAUCUGCUACAAAAGCUCGUUUGAAAGUUGUAAAUUCUAGUUUAAGUUAAAAAGACAAUAAUAAUGAAUCCCUAAUAUAUAGAUUGUUGUACACUAUUAUAUAGAUUUACAUGAGUUUAAAGUGCUGUUACAGAGAGAGAAAACUGAAGCUAAUAAUAGAAGGUUGUUACAGGGCUAUAGAGCAAAAGACAGAUAAGGCUAAAACAUAUUUACAACUUACGAAUCCAAAAUUAUUAACAUAAAGAUAGAAUAGCAGUAACUAUAUUGUGAGAACUACAAUAAAAAGCCGUGAUAAUAGCAAAAUCCAUCUGCAAAACUAUGGACUUAAUUUGAAGUGGGGACAGGAACCUGAUGACAAACUGUUUUGAGUAGUCUGUCCAGCUCUAUACAUUCAAAUUUGCUGCUUAGUGAUGAGUCAUUUAUUGACUAUUUUAAUAUGCUUUUUAGUUUAGUUUUAUUUAGAUUUUAUUUAAUUUUAUAUUAGUAUUAUUUCCUUUUUAGGAUAGUUUACUUUAAAUUGCAUUUUAUUAUAUUUUAGAAUAUUGGAUGGAUUGAAUCUUGGAGCAAAAGAAAGGGACUUGGAGCCGAUUGGAUGCAAAAAUACGAAGAUUGAGAGACAAAAAUAUGUCUCCCACAAGUCAGAAGCUUGGCACGGCCCGUGCUAGGCUUGGCACGGCCAUGCCACCCUCCAGAGUGCCUUUUGCUGCUUUUGCUUAGAUUUUAAGCUACUCUAUUUUUAGCCCAAAUGUAAUAGCUUAGAUUUUAAGUCGAUCGAAUGCUAUAAAUAGAGUAGUCACCCAUCACAAAUAUUCAUCUUUACUUGGAAUUCAAUAAGUGACAAUUGCUUUUCUAAUUAAAGUUCUUUUCUUUUCUUUUACUUUCUUGUCAUUUACUUUUAUGCUUUCUCUCUUCUCCCCCAUGUCUACGAUGAACAUGAGUGAGUAGACUUCUCCUUGUCUUGGGAUUGUUGGAUAAGUCUAAAUGACAUAAUCCUAAUCAAACCAAGCUCUAAGCCUUAAUCUUAUGUAACCCUAAUUUCUUAUCUAAAUUCACCGUUUUAACAUGGAUCAACCAUUAUCAAACUGUGGAAACGAAAGUGGAGGGUUUGAUAAUUGUUUAUCCAUUAUUCCAAAUAUCAAUUCAUAAAACGAAAGUGGAGUUUUGAUAUUCGAACAAGUGAAUUUAGACAAGGAUUGCAAAGUCAGCGAAAUAGGCUUUGCAAUCUUUGAGACAUAUAGUUUCGAUCUUCAAGGGAACUAAUAACAAUCAAGUCAGCGAAAUAGGCUUGGUUGUUAGAGGAACAAAAUCUAAUAGUAAUCAAGUCAGCGAAAUAGGCUUGGUUGCUAGAGGAACAUAAGAGAAACUGUCUUGAGAAAUUAGGUCUAACAUAACAUUAUAAGCUUAUAGUUUUGGUUUGAGAAGGACUUGUUAUUUAGAUGAAACCAACGAUCCCAAGGCUCUUUUUAUUAUAUUAAUUUUUCAACCGUUUGAAAACCCCCAACUUACAAUUCUCUUCUCUUCUAAUCAUCUCUAAAGGUUAAUUGAAUUAAACUACUCCCUGUCGGAACGAUACUCUUUCAAUACUACUUCGGUAAGACCGUGCACUUGCGGUUUUAUCUCAUCACUUAGCUUAAGUAAGCAAUCACCCAAAACUGGCCAUGAAAACUAAUUCCUUUGUUUCAUGCAGCAUUGGAAUCUAAAAUUACGUCAUUUGAGAUGCCUAAAGUAAGUAGCGUAGACUAUCAAAAGCGUUGAAUGUGUGGAAGACUGUAUAAAUGUGCUUCAGAAAUUGGAAUUAGCUAGCUAACUCCUCCAUGAACAUAUAGAACUUAUCUUUAACAUAAAUUUCACUUUUUCUCCCUACAAAGCUCAUAAUGAUCAAUACACGUCCCAAAAUCCUGCUAAUUCUUAGCAACAUCAGUCAAUUGCAAUAAAAAACUAUUAAUAGGACCCUACUUACACAUUCAGUCAGACAUAGGACAAUUGAUUGUAUUAGCAAAGUACCUUAGUGAGAAUACAUUACCAUACCAUUGCUACCGAAUGCCCCUUUAGCAUAACCGUCGCUUGAACCUCUCAAUAUAACACAUUGUGUGGCUGCUGUAGGAGAAACAAUAAUCAAAGGGUACAUAGACUUGUGCUCUACUUAAACUUUUCAUUAGGCUUCUCUGAAAAUUUGAGCAACUAAUUUCUGAAAAGUAACAAAGAAAUGGCUAAGAAAGUUAUACUUACUGAGUAUUUAAUCGAAACAAACUAAAAAAGAACAUUAAAACCUUUAAAAUAAAAUGCAUUUGUUCUAUUUUUGAAAUGUGUUGUUCUCUUAAGAUUUAAAUCACAGAGUUAAA
rnacentral:lncRNA from 1 species